rnacentral:rRNA from 1 species
CUACGGGAGGCUGCAGUGGGGAAUAUUGCACAAUGGGGGAAACCCUGAUGCAGCAACGCCGCGUGGAGGAUGACGCAUUUCGGUGUGUAAACUCCUUUUAUAUAGGAAGAUAAUGACGGUACUAUAUGAAUAAGCACCGGCUAACUCCGUGCCAGCAGCCGCGGGUAAUACGGAGGGUGCAAGCGUUACUCGGAAUCACUGGGCGUAAAGCGCGCGCAGGCGGCCUUUUAAGUUGGAUGUGAAAGCCUAUGGCUUAACCAUAGAACUGCAUCCAAAACUAUCAGGCUAGAGUCUGGGAGGGGAAGAUGGAAUUAGUUGUGUAGGGGUAAAAUCCGUAGAGAUAACUAGGAAUACCAAAAGCGAAGGCGAUCUUCUGGAACAGUACUGACGCUGAGGCGCGAAAGCGUGGGGAGCAAACAGGAUUAGAUACCCUUGUAGUC